GAUGAACGCUGGCGGCGUGCCUAAUACAUGCAAGUCGAGCGAACAGACGAGGAGCUUGCUCCUUUGACGUUAGCGGCGGACGGGUGAGUAACACGUGGGUACCUUACUAUAAAGCCGGGGUAAAUUCGGGGAAACGGGGGCUAAUACCGGAUAAAUUUCUGACCCGCAGGUUUCAUUGGUAAAAAUGGCUUUUCCUUCCCCUAUAAGUUGACUCGGCGCCGCAUUAGCUAGUUGGUAAGGUAACGGCUUACCAAGGCAACGAUGCGUAGCCGACCUGAGAGGGUGAUCGGCCACACUGGAACUGAGACACGGUCCAGACUCCUACGGGAGGCAGCAGUAGGGAAUCUUCCGCAAUGGGCGAAAGCCUGACGGAGCAACGCCGCGUGAGUGAUGAAGGUCUUCGGAUCGUAAAACUCUGUUAUUAGGGAAGAACAAAUGUGUAAGUAACUGUGCACGUCUUGACGGUACCUAAUCAGAAAGCCACGGCUAACUACGUG
rnacentral:rRNA from 1 species